rnacentral:tRNA from 1 species
ACCUGGGUGGCUCAGUCGGUUGAGUGUCCGACUUCAGCUCAGGUCAUGAUCUCAUGGUUUGUGGGUUCGAGCCCCGCAUCAGGUU